UACAGAGGGUGCAAACGUUGUUCGGAAUUACUGGGCGUAAAGCGAACGUAGGCGGUGUUCCAUGUCAGAGGUGAAAGCCUGGGGCUCAACUCCAGAAUUGCCUUUGAAACGGGAACGCUUGAGUCCGAGAGAGGGUGGCGGAAUUCCUAGUGUAGAGGUGAAAUUCGUAGAUAUUAGGAAGAACACCAGUGGCGAAGGCGGCCACCUGGCUCGGUACUGACGCUCAGGUUCGAAAGCGUGGGGAGCAAACAGG
rnacentral:rRNA from 1 species